GUUUUGGAAGUUGACCCAUCAUAUGAUCAAGCUAGAAGACAGAUUGUUCGCUUGAAGCCAUUAGCAGAUGAAAAACGUCAAAAGAUGAAGGAAGAAAUGAUUGUUGACCAUUGGUGGUAUGAACUUCUUUGGGUAGUUGCUGUUAAAUGAUUCUUUUUUGCUCUUCACGUGUAAAUAUAGGAAUGCUUCAUUUUUGCAAAAGAAAAUGUGUUCUAGGGGAGAAGAGUGGAGGAGGAGGAGAGGAUCUGGAAUUUUUGCAAAAGUAAAAGGAGCUAGUGUGAGCUGAGGUGGCUAGUGCAUUCGGAAGAUUCUGGAGGAAGGGGAAGGUUAAUGUGAGCAGAUAAAGCUUUGCUUCAGGUGCUGCUAAAGAAUAGAUGCUUGUGGAAGUGGACAAACGAUUACUGAGAUUAGCACAAGGAUGGUUUAAGGGAAAUGUAAGCUGAGGGAAAUUGGAAAUUGCAAUUCUGGUCAAUUUGGAAUGAGCGCUGACAAUUUCAAAGCUGUGAAAGAUCCAAACACUGGUUCAUAUUCUAUUCCAUUUCAGUGCUAAUAUCUUUUACAAACUUCACAUAUAUUCUUUAGUUUCUGGAGCUAUGGAUCAAAUGGACUGAAAUCUUAAAGAGGAUGAAGCACGUUUCCUCACAGUGUUGAUCUCAGUCGUAUGAUUAUGUUUUUACAUAUAACUUGAGAAAAAGAAAUUGAUGUGGUUUUUUGCCAUAAUAUGUUAUAAACAGACUUAAAGUUUCACUUUACUGGAAGUUUCUUAUAGUUGCUUUAGUACUUUCCAUUUCUUCGUGGUGUUGUCCAUGGUUUUGAUACUGUUUUGGAGGGCAUCUGAAGGUGCAGCAUAAUUUAUGCUAUCAACGUCUUUGUCAUGAUCUGUUCGGAGAGUAGCAUAGAAAUGUAGAACCUUGCACGCAAACAGGGAGAGAGUCCACCUCCUCUUCCCACCCAUCCCAAAAAAGGGUAAAUUCUGACUAGAUAUCAUAUCAUAGCCACACUAAAAGUGUGUAAGCUCGGAUGAACACUGAAAUGGUCUGGUUACUCCGUAAUUUUCAUGAACUCUGGGGGUGUUUGUUGGUUGCAUGAUUUUUGGGCGGCUUGGGGAUAUGUGGGCGCAGACAGCCUCAUUGAAUCGGGUGCACACUCCUUCCUUUGCCUUCUCUCUCUCUUCCUUGCUCUUAAUUUCAAUCCUUGCUCUCUUCUAAUUACCACUUUCUUUCCUGCUCUUCUAAUUACCGGACCAAUUUCUCCCCUUCGCUUGCUUACACCUUGCAGCACAACUCAGGAAUCAAGUUAAUUCUUGAAAAAUUGAAACUUGCGGAAGAAAGGCAAAUGGAAGGAAGGGACUCACUUUGGUAUCUCUGAACAGCUAUUCCACUUUGGAUUGGGCAAGGAUGAAUGGACAGUUGAUAAAAGCCAUUUCUCCACGAGUUAUGGAAACAUAUUGAUAUGCAGCAUUACGGUAUCUAGAGUUAAGGCUUCUGGGAUCCCUUCUGAUGAGAAAGUGAAGUUUGCAUAUGCAAUCAACAUAAGAAAGCUAGUCAAGCCACCACUACCAGCAGGAUACUGGGGAAUUCUGACCAAGGCUGAAGACCAUGUCGAUCAACCGAUAUAUAAAACAGCAGAAUUGAUCAACAAGAGCAAAUACAAUGUAUCUGAUGAAUAUGUUCGAUCAUUUAUCGAUUUUCAGGAGCUAAAUUAUCAUGAAGGGACCACAGUAGGAGCAAAGGUGAGUGGAAUUACUGAUUGGAGACACUUAGGCCAUUCCACAGUGGACUUUGGUUGGGGAGGUCCUGUUACAGUUUUUCCUCUGUCAAGAAACCUACUUGGAAGCGUUGAGCCCCGUUUCUUUUUGCCCUAUUCUUCAGCAAAUGAAGGGGAAAAGGAUGGUUGUAAACUUUCUGUGUGUUUGCAAGAACAUGCUGUUUCAGGUUUCAAAGAAGACAUGAAUAAGUUGAAGAAUUUAGAGCCUGGAUUCCUUUGAAUGAAGGGUUUCUUGUUA